CGCGUGGAUAAUCUGCCCUGUGAUCUGGGAUAACACUUCGAAAGGGGUGCUAAUACCGGAUAAGACCACGGAGUCUUAGGACUCUGCGGUAAAAGGUGGGGACCUUCGGGCCUACCGUCAUCGGAUGAGUCCGCGUACCAUUAGCUAGUUGGUAGGGUAAGGGCCUACCAAGGCGACGAUGGUUAGCUGGUCUGAGAGGAUGAUCAGCCACACUGGAACUGAGACACGGUCCAGACUCCUACGGGAGGCAGCAGUGGGGAAUUUUGCGCAAUGGGGGAAACCCUGACGCAGCAACGCCGCGUGAGUGAUGAAGGCCUUCGGGUCGUAAAGCUCUGUCAGAGGGGAAGAAGUGUGCGGGUGCUAAUAUCAUCUGCGCUUGACGGUACCCUCAAAGGAAGCACCGGCUAACUCCGUGCCAGCAGCCGCGGUAAUACGUAGGGUGCGAGCGUUAAUCGGAAUUACUGGGCGUAAAGCGUGCGCAGGUGGUUGUUUAAGACAGAUGUGAAAUCCCCGGGCUUAACCUGGGAACUGC
rnacentral:rRNA from 1 species